GUAUCGUCUUCUACACUGGUCUAAACUCCAAUGGUGAUCUUUAUAUUGGUAAUAAAAAGGUCAAUGCUAUUA
rnacentral:tRNA from 1 species